rnacentral:rRNA from 1 species
GACAGAGGCCCCAAGCGUUAGGCGGAAUCACUGGGCUUAAAGCGUGUGUAGGCGGACGCCUAAGUGUCUUGUGAAAUCCCACGGCUCACCCGUGGAACUGCUGGGCAUACUGGGCGUCUUGGGCCAACUAGGGGCAGCCGGAACAAGCGGUGGAGCGGUGAAAUGCGUAGAUAUCGGGAGGAACACCGGUGGCGAAGGCGGGUCUCUGGGCCGAUACUGACGCUGGAGGAGCGAAAGCGUGGGGAGCGAACAGG